UGACAGAAUUGUCAUUAUCAGUAUCUUAAUAUUAAUAGCACAUCUUCAACCAGAUUUGUAUGCUAACAGUGGGGCAGUCUCAGAAUAUAUUGGUAAUUGAGAAAUGAUGCAGAUGGUAUAUUUGGUAAAAUACCACGUGCUAAAAUGGAAUCUCUCUCUAUGUAACUGUGGAAACUGGUAACAACCGAUCGGGAGAGCACA